UACGAAGGGGGCUAGCGUUGUUCGGAAUCACUGGGCGUAAAGCGCACGUAGGCGGAUCUUUAAGUCAGGGGUGAAAUCCCGAGGCUCAACCUCGGAACUGCCUUUGAUACUGGGGAUCUCGAGUCCGGGAGAGGUGAGUGGAACUGCGAGUGUAGAGGUGAAAUUCGUAGAUAUUCGCAAGAACACCAGUGGCGAAGGCGGCUCACUGGCCCGGAACUGACGCUGAGGUGCGAAAGCGUGGGGAGCAAACCGG
rnacentral:rRNA from 1 species